UCCUCCUAUGGGAGGCAGCAGUGGGGAAUAUUGCACAAUGGGGGAAACCCUGAUGCAGCGACGCCGCGUGAGUGAAGAAGUAUUUCGGUAUGUAAAGCUCUAUCAGCAGGGAAGAAAAAAGACGGUACCUGACUAAGAAGCCCCGGCUAACUACGUGCCAGCAGCCGCGGUAAUACGUAGGGGGCAAGCGUUAUCCGGAUUUACUGGGUGUAAAGGGAGCGUAGACGGCAGGGCAAGUCUGGAGUGAAAGGCAGGGGCCCAACCCCUGGACUGCUCUGGAAACUGUCCGGCUGGAGUGCAGGAGG
rnacentral:rRNA from 1 species